GUCUUUUUUAUAGCAUAUGAUAAAAAACAGAUCGGAAUUAACAAUUAAUGCAGCGUUUCUCAACCAGGGCUCCCCGGAACCCUAGGAUUCCACGAGAAAGAGUGAGAUAAACUAAUGCUAAUUUCAUGAUCGUAAUAUUACUAUACAUGCACAGCAUAUUGUUGGUUAUUGUAAUAUUGUAAUAUAGACAUCAUCCUAUCAGGAAGGGCAUCCA